CACGUAGGGUGCGAGCGUUGUCCGGAAUUAUUGGGCGUAAAGAGCUCGUAGGCGGUGUGUCGCGUCGGCCGUGAAAACCUGCAGCUUAACUGUGGGCUUGCGGUCGAUACGGGCAUCACUGGAGUUCGGCAGGGGAGACUGGAAUUCCUGGUGUAGCGGUGAAAUGCGCAGAUAUCAGGAGGAACACCGGUGGCGAAGGCGGGUCUCUGGGACGGUACUGACGCUGAGACGCGAAGGCCAGGGGAGCAAACGGG
rnacentral:rRNA from 1 species